rnacentral:rRNA from 1 species
CCUACGGGAGGCAGCAGUGGGGAAUCUUGCGCAAUGGGCGAAAGCCUGACGCAGCCAUGCCGCGUGAAUGAUGAAGGUCUUAGGAUUGUAAAAUUCUUUCACCGGGGACGAUAAUGACGGUACCCGGAGAAGAAGCCCCGGCUAACUUCGUGCCAGCAGCCGCGGUAAUACGAAGGGGGCUAGCGUUGCUCGGAAUUACUGGGCGUAAAGGGAGCGUAGGCGGACAUUUAAGUCAGGGGUGAAAUCCCAGAGCUCAACUCUGGAACUGCCUUUGAUACUGGGUGUCUUGAGUGUGAUAGAGGUAUGUGGAACUCCGAGUGUAGAGGUGAAAUUCGUAGAUAUUCGGAAGAACACCAGUGGCGAAGGCGACAUACUGGAUCAUUACUGACGCUGAGGCUCGAAAGCGUGGGGAGCAAACAGGAUUAGAUACCCUGGUAGUCCACGCCGUAAACGAUGAUUGCUAGUUGUCGGGGUGUUUACAUCUCGGUGACGCAGCUAACGCAUUAAGCAAUCCGCCUGGGGAGUACGGUCGCAAGAUUAAAACUUAAAGGAAUUGACGG